rnacentral:rRNA from 1 species
GUCCACGCCGUAACGAUGGAUACUAAGUGUUGGUGAAAUCAGUGCUGUAGUUAACGCAAUAAGUAUCCCGCCUGGGAGUAUGCGCGCAAGCGUCAAACUCAAAGGAAUUGACGGGCCCGCACAAGCGGUGGAGUAUGUGGUUUAAUUCGAAGCAACGCGAAGAACCUUUACCAGGUCUUGACAUAUCAUUAAAAGCAUGGAGACAUGUAAUAGUUAUAGUGAUACAGGUGGUGCAUGGUUGUCGU